UGGUAGAUGCACCCUGAUUGUCGCCCCCGGUCCCAAGCUGGGGGCUUUAUUA
rnacentral:sRNA from 1 species